GGGGAAUUUUCCUGCAAUGGGCGAAAGCCUGACGGAGCAAUACCGCGUGAGGGAGGAAGGCUCUUGGGUUGUAAACCUCUUUUCUCAGGGAAUAAGAACUGAAGGUACCUGAGGAAUCAGCAUCGGCUAACUCCGUGCCAGCAGCCGCGGUAAUACGGAGGAGGCAAGCGUUAUCCGGAAUUAUUGGGCGUAAAGCGUCCGUAGGUGGUUUAGUAAGUCUGCUGUUAAAGCGCGGGGCUUAACUCCGNUAUCGGCAGUGGAAACUACUAGACUANAGUGUGGUAGGGGUAGAGGGAAUUCCCAGUGUAGCGGUGAAAUGCGUAGAUAUUGGGAAGAACACCGGUGGCGAAAGCGCUCUACUGGGCCAUAACUGACACUGAUGGACGAAAGCUANGGGAGCGAAAGGGAUUANAUACCCCUGUUAGUC
rnacentral:rRNA from 1 species